rnacentral:rRNA from 1 species
UAAGGAAUAUUGGUCAAUGGAGGCAACUCUGAACCAGCCAUGCCGCGUGCAGGAAGACAGCCCUAUGGGUCGUAAACUGCUUUUAUCCGGGAAUAAACCUUUCUACGUGUAGAGAGCUGAAUGUACUGGAAGAAUAAGGAUCGGCUAACUCCGUGC